GACGAACGCUGGCGGCGUGCUUAACACAUGCAAGUCACGGGGGCUUCGCUAGGAGCAACCGGCGAACGGGUGCGUAACACGUGAACAACCUGCCCCUCGUGUGGGGGAUAGCCGGGCUAACGCCCGGGUAAUACCGCAUACGUUCCUCUGGGGGAGUCCCUGGGGGAGGAAAGCUCCGGCGCACGGGGAGGGGUUCGCGGCCUAUCAGCUUGUUGGCGGGGUAAUGGCCCACCAAGGCGACGACGGGUAGCUGGUCUGAGAGGAUGGCCAGCCACAUUGGGACUGAGAGACGGCCCAGACUCCUACGGGAGGCAGCAGUGGGGAAUCUUGCGCAAUGGUCUAACGACUGACGCAGCGACGCCGCGUGUGGGAGGACGCCUUUCGGGGUGUAAACCACUGUUGCCCGGGACGAACAGCGCUAUUCGUGGCGUCUGACGGUACCGGGUGAGGAAGCACCGGCUAACUCCGUGCCAGCAGCCGCGGUAAUACGGAGGGUGCGAGCGUUGUCCGGAAUCAUUGGGCGUAAAGGGCGCGUAGGUGGCCCGGUCAGUCUUUGGUGAAAGCGCGGGGCUCAACCCUGCGUCGGCCAGGGAUACUGCCGCGGCUCGAGCACUGUAGAGGCAGGCGGAAUUCCGGGUGUAGCGGUGGAAUGCGUAGAGAUCCGGAAGAACACCGGUGGCGAAGGCGGCCUGCUGGGCAGUUUAGCUGACACUGAGGCGCGACAGCGUGGGGAGCAAACAGGAUUAGAUACCCUGGUAGUCCACGCCGUAAACGAUGGGCACUAGGCGCUUGGGGGAGCGACCCCCCGAGGGCCGGCGCUAACGCAUUAAGUGCCCCGCCUGGGGAGUACGGCCGCAAGGCUG
rnacentral:rRNA from 1 species